CCUACGGGUGGCAGCAGUGAGGAAUAUUGGUCAAUGGACGAGAGUCUGAACCAGCCAAGUAGCGUGAAGGAUGACUGCCCUAUGGGUUGUAAACUUCUUUUAUAAAGGAAUAAAACGAGGCACGUGUGCCUUUUUGCAUGUACUUUAUGAAUAAGGAUCGGCUAACUCCGUGCCAGCAGCCGCGGUAAUACGGAGGAUCCGAGCGUUAUCCGGAUUUAUUGGGUUUAAAGGGAGCGUAGAUGGGUUGUUAAGUCAGUGGUGAAAGUUUGCGGCUCAACCGUAAAAUUGCAAUUGAUACUGGCAGUCGUGAGUACAGUAGAGGUAGGCGGAAUUCGUGGUGUAGCGGUGAAAUGCUGAGAUAUCACGAAGAACCCCGAUUGCGAAGGCAGCUUACUAAACUGUGACUGACAUUGAUGCUCGAAAGUGUGGGUAUCAAACAGGAUUAGAUACCCCUGUAGUC
rnacentral:rRNA from 1 species